AUUCUGCCCAUGCGGGGAAGGACGAGAAGCUUCGACCAAGGUUCGACUUGAGCGCCAGCGAGAGAGCGUUGCCGCAGGCAACGACCCGAAGGGCGAAGCGCGCAGCGCUGA
rnacentral:sRNA from 1 species